GUUUUGUCAUUUGUACAAGUAUCCUACCUCCCAGACUCUUCAGCCUGGGGCUUCACAUACACCCACAUCCAUGGCAGACUUCUUACGUGCAAGCCCCAAG